rnacentral:rRNA from 1 species
UGGGGAAUAUUGCACAAUGGGCGCAAGCCUGAUGCAGCAACGCCGCGUGAAGGAUGAAGGCCUUCGGGUUGUAAACUUCUGUCCUAGGGGAAGAAACAAAUGACAUUACCCUUGGAGGAAGCCCCGGCUAACUACGUGCCAGCAGCCGCGGUAAUACGUAGGGGGCGAGCGUUAUCCGGAAUUAUUGGGCGUAAAGAGUGCGUAGGUGGCACCUUAAGCGCAGGGUUUAAGGCAAUGGCUCAACCAUUGUUCGCCUUGCGAACUGGGGUGCUUGAGUGCAGGAGGGGAAAGUGGAAUUCCUAGUGUAGCGGUGAAAUGCGUAGAUAUUAGGAGGAACACCAGUGGCGAAGGCGACUUUCUGGACUGUUACUGACACUGAGGCACGAAAGCGUGGGGAGCAAACAGGAUUAGAUACCCUGGUAGUCCACGCCGUAAACGAUGAGCACUAGGCGUCGGGGUCGCAAGACUUCGGUGCCGCAGUUAACGCAUUAAGUGCUCCGCCUGGGGAGUACGCACGCAAGUGUA